UGGUGGCUCAGCGGUUUAGUGCCACCUUCGGCCCAGGGUGUGAUCCUGGAGUCCCAGGAUCGAGUCCCGCAUCAGGCUCCCUAUAUGGAGCCUGCUUCUCCCUCUGCCUGUGUCUCUGCCUCUCUCUCUGUGUCUAUUAUAAAUAAAUAAAUAAAAUAUUUAAAAAAUAUAUUUUAAAAAUAGUGAUGUAGGGGCAUCUGGGUAACUCAUUCCAUUAGGCGUCUGGCUUGCCCUCAGGUCACGAUCUCGGGGUCCAGGGAGGGAGCCCCACGACAGGCGCCCUGCUCAGCGGCGAGCCUGCUUCCCCCUCCGCCUCUGCCCCUCCCCUGCUCGUGCUCAUGCUCCCUCUAACAAAUAAAUAAAAUCUUUCAAUAAAUAAAUAAAAAUAGUUGUGAUAUAUUAAGUUUCCAUACGUGUGUAUAUAAGGCUAUUGUAUUGGAAGGGACAUCUCUAAGACGUUCACGGCCUUUUUUCCGAAUCAAGAUUUCAACAGGCGACCUUUGUUUGGUUCCACAGCAUAAGGGGUUUUCUGAAAUGUGUACAAGACAGGUAACGAAAGGGAGGGUGGAAAACGUUAAUUUAUGACCCAUCAGCCAGGCCUGAUAAGGCACAGGAAGUAAAGUCUGUUUCCUGUGCUUAUGAAGGGGAGGGAAAGCGGGUUUUCUGGGAGUUCUGCGAACCCCACCGACACAUCAAACAAGCCGCUGGCCAAGGCGGCAACAGGGACAGUGAGGUGCAUCGAGGGGAGCUGCUUCGUGGGAGAGACUCAAAGGCCCAGAGCAGUCUUCCAGACACGAGGAUAGGAGCCGGUGGUCAGGACGGG
rnacentral:lncRNA from 1 species